rnacentral:rRNA from 1 species
CCUACGGGGGGCAGCAGUGGGGAAUAUUGCACAAUGGGGGAAACCCUGAUGCAGCAACGCCGCGUGAAGGAAGACGGUUUUCGGAUUGUAAACUUCUGUUCUUAGUGAAGAAUAAUGACGGUAGCUAAGGAGCAAGCCACGGCUAACUACGUGCCAGCAGCCGCGGUAAUACGUAGGUGGCAAGCGUUGUCCGGAAUUACUGGGUGUAAAGGGAGCGCAGGCGGGAAGCCAAGUCAGAUGUGAAAACUACGGGCUUAACUUGUAGACUGCAGUUGAAACUGUGUUUCUUGAGUGCAGUAGAGGUAAGCGGAAUUCCGGGUGUAGCGGUGAAAUGCGAAGAUAUUCGGAGGAACACCAGUGGCGAAGGCGGACAGCUGGACUUUAACUGACGCUGAGGCUCGAAAGUGUGGGGAGCAAACAGGAUUAGAUACCCUAGUAGUC